GACGAACGCUGGCGGCGUGCUUAACACAUGCAAGUCGAACGGUAAGGCCCCAGCUUGCUGGGGUACACGAGUGGCGAACGGGUGAGUAACACGUGGGUGGCCUGCCCCGCACUUCGGGAUAAGCCUGGGAAACUGGGUCUAAUACCGGAUAGGACCGCACCGUGAGGGUGUGGUGGAAAGUUUUUCGGUGUGGGAUGGGCCCGCGGCCUAUCAGCUUGUUGGUGGGGUAAUGGCCUACCAAGGCGGCGACGGGUAGCCGGCCUGAGAGGGUGGACGGCCACAUUGGGACUGAGACACGGCCCAGACUCCUACGGGAGGCAGCAGUGGGGAAUAUUGCACAAUGGGCGGAAGCCUGAUGCAGCGACGCCGCGUGGGGGAUGACGGCCUUCGGGUUGUAAACUCCUUUCACCAUCGACGAAGGUUUUCUGACGGUAGAUGGAGAAGAAGCACCGGCUAACUACGUG
rnacentral:rRNA from 1 species